GGUAGGUCCUAGGUAUAGGGGAGACUCUGCCGGAUUUUCGGCACGACUUAGGACGUAUUUGGUCUUUUUCUUUGUUUGUAUUGAGUCAUUUGUAUUAAAUAAUUGUAAUGUAAUUGUCAGGUGAGCCGGGACAGCCUUCUUCCUCCGCCCAGCCGCCACAGUGACCGUUGUCAAGUCUGCUACAGGAGGAUUUUAUUGUGGUUAACCUGCUUUUCUCCUUCGCAGGUUGUUUUAUCAAUAUUUGUGUAAUUUUAUUUACUCCUAGAAUUUCCGCAUGUGUUAGAAAUAUUUAAAUGAUUCGGGUCUGUAAUAUAAAUUGUCAUGUGGACCUGUAAAAUUAUUAUAUGCAUGUUUGAUGGACUGGAUGAGGGAGCUGAGCUCCCAUUUAUCUUUA